UACAAAUCUAAUGUCUCUGUAUUCCCUUAGAGUGCCUUUUGAGAGUUUGAUUUCCUUUCAAGCAAGGAGAUUAAAUUGACCUUCAUCAGAUCAAGCUAGCAUCUCUGAAGUUUUCUUAAAUGACUUCUUAUUGGAAAGAACAAAAGUGAUAAAAGCUCUGAGACUUUGUGACUAAUUGGGCUUUAUACAGAUUAACUAGGAAAAAAUUAAAGAGUAGUUCAGGCCACACAACUCAAUGAUUCCUUCUGGUAUUUAAUUCAAUGUACCUAUGUCUUAUUAUCUUACUGUUUCUCCUUUCUGCUUAAGCAUUAUGACUAUAUUACUGAAGAAUUGAAAAAGCACAAAUGGAGUGAAAAGUCUGUGUAAAAAGCAAUCAGCUUAGAUGUUGCUUUAGUAUAAUUAACACAUAGUUCUCUGAACUUGUACAAAGGUUAUAAAAGUUGUUUGUCUAUUUUAUGAAGGGUAAUCCAUGAGAUUUUUGAUAAAAAGAUGCUAUAUUUGAGGCCCUGUAAGAGACUAAAUGGAUUUUAAAGCCAAGAAAUCAAGAUAAAGAGACUUUCAAGAAGGUUGAAAUGAAAUAAUGUGCAGUGGUGGUGGAGGCUUCACAGCUUUGCCAAUGUCGUUCAGAACUGUUCUAUCCAUACCACCAGAUGUCUCAUCUUUUUAAUUUCAUGGCUGUGAUUAUUAUUGAUGCUACACAUGCAUAUACAGAAAGAAGGACAACUGGAAAACAUAAUUGGUUUGAUUAUUUGUUCCAAGGAACAUUUAUUAGACAGAUGACAUGUAUUUGGCCUCAACAUACAAGGCAAACACUAGUUAUUUAUGAAGUCACCAAGGUCCAUGUGUGGCCCAGCAAUGGAACCUCUUCAUCUCCACUAUUUUUGGUGAACCUUUUUUUGUACUUCCUUAGGCUUUUGUUAACACUAUUUUGUUACUUACAUAUAAGAAAAUGUAUAAUUAUACAUUUAUAUCCUUCCAUCAUUCUUUCAUAGGAAUGCUGACUUUCUGCCUCCUCCUCUCAGAUGAGUGAUUAUGUCUGUCAUCUUCAUAAUUUCAUUUAAUCUGUAUUGUAUUUCCUCAUUCUGAAGUCCUUCCCAUCUCACUCUCAUGACAACAGUUUUCUUCUUCUAAUUUUCUUAGCUUUCUUAAAGCCAAAAGGUCUAAAAUUAAAUGGCUGAAUGCAUUAGUACUUGGCUGCAUAUCUUAAUUUGUGCUUAAUAUAUAUGCAUAAACAUAUAACUCAUAA